ACGGUGUGGCAGAAACAGAGAUGCACAGCCCUGAGGCAUCUUAUGCCACAGAUCUCCUCUCAGAGGUGACAGCACACUAAUCCAGGAAUUAUGGGCAAUCACCAUCACCCCUAAUGAUCCAGUUGAUCCACAUUGGGUUCAAAAUGCCAAGUGGACAAAAGACCAUCAAUAUAUGCCAAGCUGAGUGGGAGUAUGCAGCUCACUUAGCUGCCUUGACAUCGAUUUCCACCUGCUAUUGUUGAUGAAGCUGCAUUCACAGGGGAAAGAAGAUGAUGUGUGCUUUGAAGCUGACCAGGCCAUCAACUUGGCACAGACAUGGAUAGGUGUGAUUGAGAUGCUGCAUCCUGGAUAGAAUACAAGGAGAAUGGUGCCCACCACUGUGGCACUCCUCCUACCAAAGCUCACCACCUGGAAAAACCAUCACAACCACAGCAGACAAACUCCCAUGCAACAAAACACCAGAGUCUGAUUCCUCAAAAGCUUCUAUCAGAAGCGAGGAAGAUCUAGGAAACUGCCAUAGACAAGAGCAUUCUAAAGACAUAUGAAGA